GUGGCUAUGGCUCAGUGGCAGAGUGCUCACUUAGCACAUGAGAGGCCCUGGGUUCGAUCCUCAGCACCACG
rnacentral:tRNA from 2 species